rnacentral:rRNA from 1 species
AUUCCAGCUCCAAUAGCGUAUAUUAAAGUUGUUGCAGUUAAAAAGCUCGUAGUUGGAUUUCUGGUAGGAGCGACCGUGCCGAACUUGAUUGUUCGAGUAUUGUGUUGUCUUCAGCCAUCCUCGUGGAGAACUUUUCUAACAUUAACUUGUUGGGAUUGGGACCCGCGUCGUUUACUGUGAAAAAAUUAGAGUGUUUAAAGCAGGCAUUAGCUUGAAUACAUUAGCAUGGAAUAAUAAGAUAGGACUUUGGUACUAUUUUGUUGGUUUGCAUACCAAAUUAAUGAUCAACAGGAACAGUUUGAGGAUAUUCGUAUGAACAUGUCAGAGGUGAAAUUCUUGGAUUUUGAUCAGACGAACUACUGCGAAAGCAUUUAUCAAGGAUGUUUUCAUUA